GAGAGGUGAUGUUGAAUGGCU
rnacentral:siRNA from 1 species